rnacentral:rRNA from 1 species
UACGUAGGGGGCUAGCGUUGUCCGGAAUCAUUGGGCGUAAAGAGCGCGUAGGCGGCCAGGUAGGUCCGUUGUGAAAACUCGAGGCUCAACCUCGAGACGCCGAUGGAAACCAUCUGGCUAGAGUCCGGAAGAGGAGAGUGGAAUUCCCGGUGUAGCGGUGAAAUGCGCAGAUAUCGGGAAGAACACCCGUGGCUAAGGCGGCUCUCUAGUACGGUACUGACGCUGAGGAGCGAAAGCGUGGGGAGCGAACAGG